UACGAAGGGGGCUAGCGUUGCUCGGAAUUACUGGGCGUAAAGGGCGCGUAGGCGGACAGUUUAGUUGGGUGUGAAAGCCCGGGGCUCAACCUCGGAAUUGCCUUCAAUACUGGCUGUCUUGAGUACGGGAGAGGUGUGUGGAACUCCGAGUGUAGAGGUGAAAUUCGUAGAUAUUCGCAAGAACACCAGUGGCGAAGGCGGCUCACUGGCCCGGUACUGACGCUGAGGCACGAAAGCGUGGGGAGCAAACAGG
rnacentral:rRNA from 1 species